rnacentral:rRNA from 1 species
UACAGAGGUCUCAAGCGUUAUCCGGAUUUAUUGGGUUUAAAGGGUGCGUAGGCGGCUUAUUAAGUCGAGGGGUGAAAGACGGUGGCUCAACCAUCGCAGUGCCCUUGAUACUGAUGAGCUUGAAUACACUUGAGGUAGGCGGAAUGUGACAAGUAGCGGUGAAAUGCAUAGAUAUGUCACAGAACACCAAUUGCGAAGGCAGCUUACUAAGGUGCAAUUGACGCUGAGGCACGAAAGCGUGGGGAUCAAACAGG